GCAAGUCGAGCGGUAACAUGGGUAGCUUGCUACCCGCUGACGAGCGGCGGACGGGUGAGUAAUGCUUGGGAAGCUGCCCGUUAGAGGGGGAUAACAGUUGGAAACGACUGCUAAUACCGCAUAACCUCUUUGGAGCAAAGCGGGGGACCUUCGGGCCUCGCGCUAUCGGAUGCGCCCGAGUGGGAUUAGCUGGUUGGUGAGGUAAUGGCUCACCAAGGCGACGAUCCCUAGCUGGUCUGAGAGGAUGAUC
rnacentral:rRNA from 1 species